rnacentral:rRNA from 1 species
CAGCAGGCGCGAAAACUCUACAAUGCAGGCAACUGCGAUAGGGGAACAUCGAGUGAUACUCAUCUUGGGUGUCUGUCCUCCCGUCUAAAAAACGGGAGUUAGCAAGGGCCGGGCAAGACCGGUGCCAGCCGCCGCGGUAAUACCGGCGGCUCGAGUGGUAGCCGAUAUUAUUGAGUCUAAAGGGUCCGUAGCCGGCUUGUGCAAGUCUUUUGGGAAAUCCAGCGGCUUAACCGUUGGUCGUCCGGGAGAUACUACMUUGCUUGGGACUGGGAGAGGUAGGAGGUACUCAGGGGG